UAAUGUUUGAUGUUCUAACGUGGACCCGUGAUCCGGGUUGCGGACAGUGUCUGGUGGGUAGUUUGACUGGGGCGGUCUCCUCCUAAAGAGUAACGGAGGAGCACGAAGGUUGGCUAAUCCUGGUCGGACAUCAGGAGGUUAGUGCAAUGGCAUAAGCCAGCUUGACUGCGAGCGUGACGGCGCGAGCAGGUGCGAAAGCAGGUCAUAGUGAUCCGGUGGUUCUGAAUGGAAGGGCCAUCGCUCAACGGAUAAAAGGUACUCCGGGGAUAACAGGCUGAUACCGCCCAAGAGUUCAUAUCGACGGCGGUGUUUGGCACCUCGAUGUCGGCUCAUCACAUCCUGGGGCUGAAGUAGGUCCCAAGGGUAUGGCUGUUCGCCAUUUAAAGUGGUACGCGAGCUGGGUUUAGAACGUCGUGAGACAGUUCGGUCCCUAUCUGCCGUGGGCGCUGGAGAACUGAGGGGGGCUGCUCCUAGUACGAGAGGACCGGAGUGGACGCAUCACUGGUGUUCGGGUUGUCAUGCCAAUGGCACUGCCCGGUAGCUAAAUGCGGAAGAGAUAAGUGCUGAAAGCAUCUAAGCACGAAACUUGCCCCGAGAUGAGUUCUCCCUGACCCUUUAAGGGUCCUGAAGGAACGUUGAAGACGACGACGUUGAUAGGCCGGGUGUGUAAGCGCAGCGAUGCGUUGAGCUAACCGGUACUAAUGAACCGUGAGGCUUAACCUUACAACGCCGAAGGUGUUU
rnacentral:rRNA from 1 species